GAUGAACGCUAGCGGCAGGCCUAAUACAUGCAAGUCGAACGGUAAAUAUUGUAGCAAUACAAUAUGAGAGUGACGCACGGGUGCGUAACACGUAUGCAACCUACCCUUUACAGGGGUAUAGCUCGGGGAAACUCGAAUUAACACCCCAUGAUAUAAUUGAAUGGCAUCAUUGAUUAUUAAAUCUGCGGAGGUAAAGGAUGGGCAUGUGUCUGAUUAGCUAGUUGGUAGUGUAACGGACUACCAAGGCGAUGAUCAGUAGGGGAACUGAGAGGUUGAUCCCCCACACUGGCACUGAGAUACGGGCCAGACUCCUACAGGAGGCAGCAGUAGGGAAUAUUGGUCAAUGGGUGAGAGCCUGAACCAGCCAUGCCGCGUGCAGGAAGACGGCCCUUCUGGGUUGUAAACUGCUUUUUGCCAGGGGCUAAAUGCCCAUGCGUGGGAAAUUGAAAGUACCUGGUGUAUAAGCCACGGCUAACUACGUGCCAGCAGCCGCGGUAAUACGUAGGUGGCAAGCGUUGUCCGGAUUUAUUGGGUUUAAAGGGUGCGUAGGCGGCUCUGUAAGUCAGUGCUGAAAUAUCCCGGCUUAACUGGGAGGGUGGCAUUGAUACUGUGGAGCUAGAGUACAGAUGAGGUAGGCGGAAUUGACGGUGUAGCGGUGAAAUGCUUAGAUAUCGUCAAGAACACCUAUAGCGAAGGCAGCUUACUAGGCUGUAACUGACGCUGAGGCACGAAAAGUGUGGGGGAUCAAACAGGAUUAGAUACCCUGGUAG
rnacentral:rRNA from 1 species